CACCGCCCGUCAAACCAUCUUAGUUGGGGGUGGGUGAGGCUGCGCUUUAUGGCGUAUUCGAGCCUGCCUUCGACAAGGAGGGUUAAGUCGUAACAAGGUAUCUGUAGGGGAACCUGCAGAUGGAUCACCUCCU
rnacentral:rRNA from 1 species